UCGAGGGGCAGCAUGGGACUUCGGUCCUGAUGGCGACCGGCGCACGGGUGAGUAACGCGUACAGAACCUGCCCCCAAGCGGGGAAUAGCCCCGGGAAACUGGGAUUAAUGCCCCAUAGCACCAUAAUGCCGCCUGGCAUGAUGGUUAAAGCUUUGGCGCUUGGGGAUGGCUGUGCGUGCCAUUAGCUGGUUGGCGGUGUAACGGACCACCAAGGCGACGAUGGCUAGGGGGCGUGAGAGCGUGGCCCCCCCACACGGGUACUGAGACACGGACCCGACUCCUACGGGAGGCGGCAGUAAAGGAAUAUUGGACAAUGGGGGCAACCCUGAUCCAGCCAUCCCGCGUGCAGGAUGACGGCCCUACGGGUUGUAAACUGCUUUUGCGAGGGAAGAAACGGCGCCACUCGUGGCGUUUUGACGGUACCUCGAGAAUAAGCACCGGCUAACUCCGUGCCAGCAGCCGCGGUAAUACGGAGGGUGCAAGCGUUAUCCGGAAUCACUGGGUUUAAAGGGCGCGUAGGCGGCACAGUAAGUCAGGGGUGAAAGGCCGUGGCUCAACCACGGAAUUGCCUUUGAAACUGUUGUGCUUGAAUCAAGUUAAGGCCGGCGGAAUGUGGCAUGUAGCGGUGAAAUGCAUAGAUAUGGCAUAGAACACCGAUUGCGAAGGCAGCUGGCUAGGCUUGUAUUGACGCUGAGGCACGAAAGCGUGUGGAGCGAACAGGAUUAGAUAACCCUUGGUAGUCCAACGCCCUAAACGAUG
rnacentral:rRNA from 1 species